AGUCGAGGGGUAACGGAAGUAGCUUGCUACUAGACGACGACCGGCGCACGGGUGAGUAACGCGUAUGUAAUCUGCCUUGUACAGAGGGAUAGCCCAGAGAAAUUUGGAUUAAUAUCUCAUAGUAUUACCGAAUCGCAUGAUUUGGUAAUUAAAGCUCCGGCGGUACAAGAUGAACAUGCGUGACAUUAGCUAGUUGGUAAGGUAACGGCUUACCAAGGCUACGAUGUCUAGGGGUUCUGAGAGGAUGAUCCCCCACACUGGUACUGAGACACGGACCAGACUCCUACGGGAGGCAGCAGUGAGGAAUAUUGGUCAAUGGACGCAAGUCUGAACCAGCCAUCCCGCGUGAAGGAUGACUGCCCUAUGGGUUGUAAACUUCUUUUAUAUGCAAAUAAACCUACUUUCGUGAAAGUAGCUGAAGGUAGCAUAUGAAUAAACACCGGCUAACUCCGUGCCAGCAGCCGCGGUAAUACGGAGGGUGUAAGCGUUAUCCGGAUUUAUUGGGUUUAAAGGGUAC
rnacentral:rRNA from 1 species